rnacentral:rRNA from 1 species
GAUGAACGCUGGCGGCGUGCCUAAUACAUGCAAGUCGAGCGAACGGACGAGAAGCUUGCUUCUCUGAUGUUAGCGGCGGACGGGUGAGUAACACGUGGAUAACCUACCUAUAAGACUGGGAUAACUUCGGGAAACCGGAGCUAAUACCGGAUAAUAUUUUGAACCGCAUGGUUCAAAAGUGAAAGACGGUCUUGCUGUCACUUAUAGAUGGAUCCGCGCUGCAUUAGCUAGUUGGUAAGGUAACGGCUUACCAAGGCAACGAUGCAUAGCCGACCUGAGAGGGUGAUCGGCCACACUGGAACUGAGACACGGUCCAGACUCCGACGGGAGGCAGCAGUAGGGAAUCUUCCGCAAUGGGCGAAAGCCUGACGGAGCAACGCCGCGUGAGUGAUGAAGGUCUUCGGAUCGUAAAACUCUGUUAUUAGGGAAGUACAUAUGUGUAAGUAACUGUGCACAUCUUGACGGUACCUAAUCAGAAAGCCACGGCUAACUACGUG